rnacentral:rRNA from 1 species
CGCGUAGGCGGUCGGGUUAGUCGGAUGUGAAAGCCCAGGGCUUAACCUUGGAAUUGCAUUCGAUACUGCCCGGCUAGAGUAUGGGAGAGGGAAGCGGAAUUUCCGGUGUAGCGGUGAAAUGCGUAGAUAUCGGAAGGAACACCAGUGGCGAAGGCGGCUUCCUGGCCCAAUACUGACGCUCAGGUGCGAAAGCGUGGGGAGCGAACA